rnacentral:rRNA from 1 species
GACAGAGGGUGCAAACGUUGUUCGGAAUUACUGGGCGUAAAGCGCGUGUAGGCGGCCCUGCAAGUCGGGUGUGAAAUCCCAUGGCUCAACUAUGGAAGUGCACUCGAAACUGCAGGGCUAGAGUCCUGGAGAGGAAGGUGGAAUGCUUGGUGUAGAGGUGAAAUUCGUAGAUAUCAAGCGGAACACCGGUGGCGAAGGCGGCCUUCUGGGACAGUGACUGACGCUGAGGAGCGAAAGCUAGGGGAGCAAACGGG